AACGAACGCUGGCGGCAGGCUUAUCACAUGCAAGUCGAACGGGCGCAGCAAUGCAUCAGUGGCAGACGGGUGAGUAACACGUGGGAACCUUCCUAGGGGUACGGACCAACUCAGGGAGACUUGAGCGAAUACCGUAUACGUCCGUGAGGAGAAAGAUUUAUCGCCCUUAGACGGGGCCGCGUCGGAUUAGCUAGUUGGUGGGGUAACGGCCUACCAAGGCGACGAUCCGUAGCGGAUCUUAGAGGCUGAUCCGCCACACUGGGACUGAGACACGGCCCAGACUCCUAUGGGAGGCAGCAGUGGGGAAUCGUGGACAAUGGGCGCAAGCCUGCUCCAGCCAUGCCGCGUGAGUGAAGAAGGUCUUCGGAUUGUAAAGCUCUUUUGCCAGGGACGAUAAUGACGGUACCUGGAGAAUAAGCCCCGGCAAACUUCGUGCCAGCCGCCGCAGUAAGAC
rnacentral:rRNA from 1 species